rnacentral:rRNA from 1 species
UACGGAGGGUGCAAGCGUUAUCCGGAUUUACUGGGUUUAAAGGGUGCGUAGGCGGGCCUUUAAGUCAGUGGUGAAAUCUCCCCGCUCAACGGGGAAACUGCCAUUGAUACUAUUGGUCUUGAAUUUAGUUGAGGUGGGCGGAAUGUGUCGUGUAGCGGUGAAAUGCUUAGAUAUGACACAGAACACCGAUUGCGAAGGCAGGUCUCUGGGCUGUAACUGACGCUGAGGAGCGAAAGCAUGGGGAGCGAACAGG